UGGGAACUUAAGUUUAAUAUGGGAUUAACAGAGUAUAUUGAAGUAAACUUAUCUGACUGGAUAAAUAAAGUUAAAAAUUAUACGACUUGUUCAAAUUUCAAUUGAAGUUCAUUGACGAAAUUGAAAUGUCUACAACUUUUUUUCUUUUAAUCGUACCUCUAUAUCUUGUAAAAUUUACAAGUCUUGAUCAGUUUAUUAAUCCAUCUACAUUUCAAAUAUACUAUUAAUAAGAGGUAAUGUUAUGUAUUUUAAUACCAAAUAAAUUCGAGACGAUGAUGACUCGUUGGAUCGGAUUAAAAAUAUAUGGUUCAUUCGGAACCUAUUAUGAGACUAUUUUAAAUAGUCGACCCAAUACACAUAACUGACCGCACACAACAAAAGCUAUACCAAGUAUUACAUUCAGGGACGACAUAAUUAAUUGACCUAAGGUGUACUGUAUAUAUACUUUUGUCCUUUGUCCUAUUACAUAAUAUACGUACAUACGAUUUGUCCUAGGCCCUUUUUGGUGAGACUCUUCGGCUGAUUCUCUUUGUGAUUUGAUGCCCCCUUCAUGUGGUCCUUUUGUGAGAGCUACUCUAUCUCACAUUGGCUAGCAUCUUGGCUAUCGACUUUGUGCCUAUUUCGAUCGAUUUUUUUCCUUGUUAUUUCAACCCUUGUUUCCCAUCCUCGCAACUACCUUCAUGUACGACUAUCUCUACGUGAGUCCAAUGGGUGAUUCCUUCGUGGCUUUGAGUGGGAUUAUUGGUUUUUUCUAGUUGAACUACCUUAUAUGUAUUUGGAUCAAUGAUCUGAGCCCCGUGUACUUCAUUUUGGUGCCAAUUUUUGUGAUAUCGGAAAGAGGAAAUGUUUAUAUUCAUUCAUGAUUUGAUUUCGUUAUUAUUAUUGAUUUAAAACUCACUUAGUGUUUGUUUGAUCAAUUAAAGGUGCAUUUUAACUCCACAAACUAAUAUGAGGGACUCCAGUAAAAGAGUGUGUACUGUACAAUUGAGGCUACGACUACUGAUUUUGCAUAAGGAUUUGAAUACUUAAAAUAAAAAUUCGCAUCUCUCAUUGUUGGAGAGCAUAGACAUGUCCGCUCUAAUAAAUUGACUAAAACUCUUUAAGUUACUGCAAUAGCAGGUUAUCAUGUGGGUGACCAAUAGAAUUGCAGCCUUGCCUGAUGCUAGUAUUUUAGGACUAAUUGCUUAAAUUGUAAUAUUAUCAUUUUUGUGGCUAUAUUGAUCAUUGUUUAGCUUUUUGAAUUGUUGCUCAAAUCUUUGUGUUUAGAAUUGUUGCAUUUGACCUUACCUGCUCGAAAAUUCCCUUGAGGCUAAGGUUCGAAUCUCAUGAAAAUACAGGGAAUUUAGACCGAUGUAUAACUGCAACCUACAUGACAUUCUUUGUGUGGUUAUUUGUGUGAAGGUUACUUACGUGCUAUGUGUCUUAUUUGUUAAGAAGCCUAUGCACCACUUUGACUUGAGCAUCUUUAAUAGUAAAGGUGAUUUUUCUUUUUGGCGACGAAAGAUGAAAGAAGUUUUAGUACAGCAAAAAGUUUCAAAAGUUAUUGAUAAUUCUUUUGUUGCAACUGUGACUAAGGAUUAGAAAAAUGAGUUUGACGAACUUUCUUAUUCCUCUAUUAUCUUUCACUUAUCUGAUACUAAUUUGUAAAAAAGUUGGCAAACAUGACAACGUCAAUAAACUUUGGAAAAAGCUUGAGGAGCUUUGUUUAACUCAAUCCAUGCCCAACAAACUUUUCUUACUUGAAUGUUUUUUCGAUUUCAAAAUUAAUCCCCUCAAAAGGGUUAGAUGACAAUCUUAAUAUUUUCAACAAAGUGGUUAAAGAUAUUACAACUUGUGGUGAAAAGAAUUCUGAUAAAUAUAAAGCUAUUAUUCUUUUGAAUGUUAUUCUUGAUAAUUAUAAGGAUGUGAAGUAUGCAAUCAAUAUGGAAGGGAGAACAUUACAUCCAAUAUAGUCAUCAAUUCCUUAAAGGAUAAUUAUAAGGAUGUGAAGUAUGCAAUUAAUAUGGAAGGGAGAACAUUACAUCCAAUAUAGUCACCAAUUCCUUAAAGGCUAAAGAGGGGAAAAUAUAAUUGAAAGAAAUGAGAGAGAAGUAGGAGAGAUUUAAGGAUGGAGAAAGGCAAAAUAGUGGUGGCAAGAAGAAUGGGAGAGGUAGAUCCAAGUCACUAGGAAAAGUUAAUGGAAAAAAAUGUUAUGAUAGUGGAAAACUAUGACAUUUCAUUAAUAAGUCCUAUGAAGGGGAAAAAACAAGUUGAGAGAUCAGAGGGGUGGUGAACCAGUGGGGUAAACGUUGUUGCCUAGAGAGAUGAACCUGAUGAGGUUUAUAUGCUCUUAGAUACUUACCAAGGGAAAUUAACAUGUCCAUGAACUACCAUAUACACAAGUGGAUUGUAGACUCUGGUGCUUUUUUCAUGUUACAUCAAAUAAAUUAUGGUUUGAUUAUUUGCAUAAGUCUGAUCAUUGAUAUGUAAUUGCAUGGGGUGGAGUCGCAUAUAAGAUGAGUAGCGUGGGUAGUGGGACUGUUAGAUUUGACAUUGACUUUGUAUACAUACUAAAAGGAGUUAGGUACAUUCCAAAUAUAAGUAAGAAUCUAUUUUUUGGUGGAAACCUAGGAGCGUACAUAUUUCACUAGUAUACAAAUGUUAAAAAUGUUUAAGAAAGCACUUAGAGCCUUUAAGUUAUCUAGGAACAAUGACAUUUACAUCAUGUAUGCUGAAGUGAUGGGUAAUUUAAAUUUCACUAUCACUGACACUGAUUACGCAUGGAAUUGGCACUAUAGGUUUGCUCAUGUUAGUGUUAAGUGGCUUAAGUUUCUUAACGAUAGAGGUGUGUGUGGUAAGGAUUGGGUGCCUGACAUGCCAUUUUGUGAAUAUUUUGUGCUUGGUAAACAUCGUAGGAUGCCAUUUGCAUCUAGCUCACAUAAAACAUCUAGAAUGUGAUAAUACAUUCAUACUUAUUUGUGGAGGUCCGAAUAGCAAUCCCACUUUUGGUGGUACAAAUAUUUUAUAUCUAUUAUUGACAAUUUCUCCAUACGUGUGUGGGUUUAUUUUCUAAAGGAUUAAUUUGAAAAUUUUGUGAAUUUUAAAAUAAUGAAAAGUAAAGGUAGAGAACCAGAGAGGUAAGAAACCGAAAUAUUUGCAUAUUGAUAAUGGUCUCGAGUUUUGCAAUGCCGAAUUUAAUAAUUUGAGUAAUGAAUCUAGUAUCACUAGUCAUAAGGACUAAGCCUUACAUUUUUCCAGCAAAAUGGGGUUGUUGAAAGCAUGAAUUGUACUUUGCUUGUUAAAGUUAGAUAUAUGAUGUUAAGAUUUGGUGUGCCUAAGUCCCUUUUUUUUUUAAGGAGAAGGGGAGUGAAGCUGUUAUGACUGGGUGUUAUUUGACUAAUAUGACUCUUUCCGUUGCUUUAAUUGGUGAUACUCCAUAAGACAUUUGAUAGGGUAAAUGUGUUGAUUAUUCCGUGGUUAUGACCUUUGGCUAUGUUGCUCUCUCUCAUCAAAGUCAAGGGAAAUUAGAACCUAGAACUAAAAAGUGUGUCUUCUUAAGAUAUCCUAAGGGUGUUAAGGGUAUAUAUUAUAUAAUCGAAGCGAGAAGGGCAUGAGAAUAAUCAUGAAUGGUGGUAUCACAUUUGAUGAGUUUGAAAUGCCUUGCAAAUGGGAUGAGGAACAAGAAGAAAAUGUUAGGAAAGAGUCCCUAGUUGAGAUGGAGCAGGUGAAUGUCUACAUUCUCAAUACCUCGUGCAAGAUGGAGAGUAAUAUACAAAGUCAAUAGAACAUAGAGUUAGGAGGUGAUUAGUAAGUUGUUGAGAACAACCUAUCGACCAAAAUCCUCUAGCAGACUGCCUAGUAGCUAGAGAUAGAGAGGAAAAAUCACAUAAGGAACCACAAAGGAUGUCUGACUAUACUAUAGCCUAUACUAGUUAUAAGAACUAGUUGAUAAGGGGCCAAAUACCUAUGAGGAGGCUAAGAUGAGUGAAACGAGUGAUGAGAGGCUAGAUACAAUAAGAGAAAAAAAUGAGUUUCUUGCCAAGAAUCAAACUUGGAAUAUACUUUCUACACCUACGAAUAAACCCAUUGUUGGAUGCAAGUAGAUUUAUAAAAUUAAUGAGGGAACCACUAAGAGUGAGCCCAUGAGAUACAAGGCUAGGUUACGAGCCAAGGGGUACAUACAGAAAGAAUGGAUGUAUUAUAAUGCGAUCUUUUCGACAGUUGUUAAAUAUACCACUAUUAGGGUCAAGUUUGCUUUUGUUGCUUACUAUGAUUGAAAACUUGAACAAUUUGAUAUCAAAAUGCCUUUUUGCAUGGUAAUUUUAAUGAAAAUAAUUUUAUGAAUCAGCUUAAAGGGUUUAAAAGUAAGUCUAAACUUGACCAGGUGCAUUUCAUAAAGAAGUCUAAACUUGACCAGGUGUAUUUCAUAAAGAAAUAUCUUUUUGGGCUAAAAUAAUCUCCGCGUUAGUGGUACAAAAAGUUUGAUUUUUAUGUGUUAUCUAUUGGUUUCAAAUGAGAGAGUUUAACCAAUGCUUAUAUUACCUACACCACAACACUAAUAAAGAGUGUGUGUAUUUGUUACUUUAUAUGGAUGACAUGUUGCUAAUUGGACCUAACAUGAAGGUGGUAAACAAGAAUUUAAUGAAGUUAAGAAAAGAAUUUGACAUAAAGACAUGGGACAUGCUUGGAGGAUCUUUAGUAUAGAGAUUAAUCGGGAUAGGUCUAAUUCUUGCUCGUAUGUGCAUCAAACUCCUUACGUACUUAAAAUUUUAUACAAAGUUAGCAUAUUUGAUUGCAAACCUAUUUCUGUGCUUCGUAGAAACCAUUUUAUUUUAACAAAAGAAUAAUCACCUGCUAAUGAUGAAGAAAAAGAAUUUAUGAAUAAUAUUUCUUAUUCAAAUAUCAUUGGCUCCAUUAUGUACCUUGUGGUCUGAACUAAACCGUAUUUGGCUUUUAAUAUGAGUGUAUUAAGUAGGUACAUGUCUAAUCCUGAUCCCAGACAUUGGGAAGCAUUAAAAUAUUUGCUUAAGUACUUGAAGGUUGAUGCGGAGUUAGUUUACAAAUCUACUAACAAGGGUGUGAAACUUAAAGGUUUCACUGAUGCUGACUAUAGUGAAGAUAGAGAUAAUAAGAAAUUUACUUCAUCUUGUGUGUUUAUUUUGUGUGACUCUUGUCUAGUUUGGAGGUCUCAACUUCAAUAUAUAGUUACUUUAUCUGCCAUUGAAUGUGGGUAUAUUGCUACCACAAAAGCUAUUAAAGAAAUUUUGUGGUUUAGAGGUUUACUUAAUGAACUAAGUGUGUUAAGUGAUUAUGUGAUAGUAUAGACUGAUAGUCAAUAUGCUAUUCAUCAGUGUAAGAAUCCCGUGUUUAUAUCACUAAACAUAUAGAUGUUAGGCUGCAUUUUAUUAUAGAUGUGAUGUCUCAUGGUAUGAUGAAAUUUGAGAAAGUGUAGUCAGAUUACAACCCUACGAAUAUAGGCACUAAGGUGCUUCUCCUAUUAAAGUUUAGUAGUUUUCUACACUUCUAACAUCGGUAAAGGUAUGUAAUGUUUCAAUUUUAUUUGAAAUCAUAUUGUGUGACUACUAAACUAGUUCUCUCUCUCUCUCUCUCUCUCUCUCUCUCUCUCUCUCUCUCUCUCUCUUUUAUAGGUGUAUUUGGCAUUAAUAUGAAUGUUUGUUAGGUAUUUUCAUAAUAAAUAAAUCCAAGGUGAUGAUGACUCCUAGGAUCAAAUUAGAAACAUAUGGUUUGUUUAGAACCUAUUAUGGAGACUAUUUUAAAUAGUGGACCCAAUACACACGACAGGUCGCCCACAACAGAAGCUGGAACGAUUAUUACAUUCAAGACCUAACCCACUUAAUUAACCUAGUAUGUGUUUUAUAUAUGCUUCAUCCUUUUGUCCUAUUACAUAAUAUACGCACACACGAUUUGUCCUAGCCCCCUUUUUGGUGAGACUUUUGAGCUACUCCUCUCCGUGAUUUGCUGCUUCCUUCAUGCGGUCCCUUUUAUGAGAUUUUUUCUACCUUACCUUGUCGGCAACUUGGCCGGCAUCUUGGUUAUUGGCUUCAUCCUAUUCUAGUUGGUUUUUCUCUAGCUGUUUUGGCCCCUAUUUCUAAUCAUUGUUACUACGUACCAUUCGUCGUCUUCAUGAGUGGCUAUUUCUGUGCGAUUCUAGUGGGUGAUUCCUUUGUGGCUUCAAGUGGAAUUCUUGGAUCCUUUUAGUGGAGCUACUUUGAGUGCAUUUGUGUAAAUGAUCUGAGCCAUGUAUACUGUAUUUUGGUGCCAAUCUUUGUGAUAUUGAAAAUGUGAUGUGUUUAUGUUCAUUCACAGUUUUGAUUUCAUUAUUGUUAUUGAUUUGAAUCUCACUUAGUGUUUGGUCGAUCAACUGAACGUGCAUUUUAACUCCACGGAUUAUAAAUCCAAAGUUAAUCCCAAUAGUGUCCACCCUUCUUCAAACUUUCCUCCAUUAUAUGCUUGUUUGGAAAACAUUACAAUUUUUUUUGUAAUUUAAUAGUCAAAGUCGAACAUUAAUUUUAAUAAUUCAUUUAGUAAUAUCAACAUUAUUACCCAUUUAUUCGUCACUAAUUAUGUCACAUUAUAAUUUUAUCCAGACAAAUAAAAGGUGAUUCUAAUUUUUGAUUUUCUACGUUUCCACUGGUACUCAUUCUAGGGUGGUUAAAGAAUUUCUUUUUUAUUAUCUUAGCUUAUUCUAAUUGGAAAACAAUUUUAGUAUAAUACAUGUCUAGCGUCAUUCAUGAAUGUAUACUAAACAUGUUGUUGUAU
rnacentral:lncRNA from 1 species